GGGAAGGACUGGGCCCAGGCUAGGACGGCGUCCAGGCUGUGACAGACACUUAUUGAAACAUCUCUGAGGAUGUGUAUCGUUCAUGCAUACGACGUUAUGAGAAUUGUGUUGUAUGGUUGUCACUAAAACAUGCUGUGAGCUGAGGAAUCGGCCAGAUAUUCGCUCCCCAGAGGCAACAGCAAGGAAAGUAACUAACGCCCGGGCGGGGAGUCGAACAACCCAUCAGCAGCCAUUGUCCAGCAAGGGAGCUACAAUGCGAUGAGUCCCCUGCACGAGGCCCCACCGGGGGAAUUGCUCAGCCUCGCUUGGAGAGACUCAGCAAUGCCCCCAGACGUGCCUGGACUUGUGCUCCCCAAGCACAUGGACUGAGGGUAUAAAACAGGCAGUGUGGACAGCCCAACCUCUGCUGCAAGCGACCAGGCCACUGAGAAGAAGACAAGACUCCGACACAGGAGACUGGCCCAGGAUCAGGGGACAAACCUGUGUACUAAGGACUGCAACAUCCAGUGGGGUGAGAAACUGCUUCAUCUACUUGCUGCCCAGUCCAAUAGGGCUGAGAGUUUAGGCUGCCAGCUUAUGUUGUAUUUUCUUUUGGUACCACUCUGAGUUGUUGUGCUUUGACUCGUAAUCACUUACAAUCUAGCUUUGUCGUUAAUAAAUCUGUUGGUUUAUUCUA